GGGUCGUUAGCUCAGUUGGUAGAGCAGUUGACUUUUAAUCAAUUGGUCGCAGGUUCGAAUCCUGCACGANACACC
rnacentral:tRNA from 1 species